rnacentral:lncRNA from 1 species
UCUGCCUUCUCUCUACUUUCUCUCUCUAGAUUUUCUAUGAUUUCUCGGUCUAAUAUGAAUGUUUACAUGGUAUCAGAGCCUCGACGAUGAUUCGACUAUGUUUCUAUGUGCUUCGUUGUCCUGGAUGAAGUCUGUUUCGACGUUUUGGGGGUGAUUUCUGAGACCUCACGGUCGAUGAAGAUUCCGACUCAUCGGAGACCUUUCUGAGUCUUUCGUCGUGAUAUCGGAGUGUAUUUUCUUCUCCUGAACGUUCUGGAAGAUUUUAUGAUGAUUUUUGGUUGAUUUUGGGUGACUUAUCNNNNNNNNNNNNNNNNNNNNNNNCGGAGACCUUUCUGAGUCUUUCGUCGUGAUAUCGGAGUGUAUUUUCUUCUCCUGAACGUUCUGGAAGAUUUUAUGAUGAUUUUUGGUUGAUUUUGGGUGGCCUAUCGGCUUCUAGGGUUUCUGGUGGUUUAACCUGAAGUUUUACUGCCAUCCGGUGGCUUGAUUCUCACUCAGUGGACGUUUUGGGUGACUCUCCGACGAUCCUGACUACGUUUUCAGUAAGGUUUUUCAAGGUUACACCUAGGGUUUGAUACCUAGGGUUUCUCUGUUUGUUGGUUGUUGUGUGUGAAUACCUGUUUUGGUUGUAUUCUGUUUGUUGAAAAGUUGAUAUAUUCUGUUUGUUGGUUGUUGUGUGUGAAUACCUGUUUUGGUUGUAUUCUGUUUGUCGAAAAGUUGUUCAUUUAAGCAGGUUCAUAUACUAUGGCUUCUAGCACAAAUACUGGUGCCUCCCCUUCUGUAGACUCUUCCUGUCCCCUUUUUGUAUAUUCUUCUGAUGUCCCUGGGGUAUCUCUCGUUCCCACCCCCUUCUCGGGUAGUGGUUAUGGGGGCUGGAGACGUAAAAUGAUUGUUGCCUUAUUAGCCAAAAAUAAAAUCAGUUUUGUUGAUGGCACAUACACCCGACCUACCACCAAUGUGGCUCAACAAAGGUU